AAGCCUGAACAAAAAGCAGCAGCUGAACAGACGUCAGACAGGAGGAGACAGUGAAACCUCAGCACAGCUUCACACAGAUUCAAGCUUCAGUUCGACUCUUCACGUUCUGUUCAUUCUAUAGUCUGUUUGUUCAGUUCAUUUGGACCGAGUCAGAACCAGAGAACCAAGAUUUAAAUGAAAAUGGUGUCAUUUAAUCAGACAUUCGAAAUGUAACUGAACAAAACCUAAAGAAGAAACUAAGACACUCCUAUAAAACUAAUGACAAAUAAAAUAAAGAGACAUUAAAUAGAAAAUAACAAACUGGACCGUGGGAGAGAGGGAUGAGAGGCUUUGGUCCAGAGCUACUGAGGGAACAGAGAGGUGACAUGUCUAAUGUAGGAAACAGACUUUAUUAAUACCACAAUAGGGAAAUUCUGGGGGUUUUAGCAGCAAUUGAGAAUUUACAGGACAAAACAGAGGAAAAACAAACAGUGAUAUUUGUGCAAAAGAACGAGGCAUCAGGCGUAUUUACAUAUUGACAGUGGCAAACGAUAUGAAUGGUGGAGACCUGAGACACUGCACAACAACACAUUGUGUCACUGCAGUGCUGUGUUGUGUGAUGUCUGUGGGAGCAGUGACCUGCAGCAGCUCCUUCCUGCCUGUGGCUGUAACAGUGUGGUGCUGAAGGAGCUGCUCAGAGCCUCCGUGUGGUGCAGGGGUGGAGGUGUUCUCCAUGAUGGAUGCUAGUUCACCAGCAUCCUUCUGUCCUCCACCUCCUCCAUGGACACAGUGCAGCCCAGGACAGAGCUGCAGCAUAAAAUGCUUGCAUAAAAUAAUGUACUUCCUGUCACACAUCAACAAGGUGAAGGACCCACACGCAGCUUGCAUAAACUCAGGCUUGUGAAGGUUUAAUCAGGCUCGUGGUCAACAGUGAUAAUGACAACAGACAGGGAGUGAGCAAAGGCAGUGGAGAUCCAGACUGGGUUCAAUACACAAGGCAGAGUCAAAAGGCACCGAGUGGGAGCAGGACACGGUCAAAACAAGAAACAGACGCACAAACGGACUCACAGCUGAAUGCUGGAGAGAGACACGCAAACAUGAACUAACAAUCUGGCAGAGUGUGGUGAGGACUGGGGCCCGUUUCAAGAAGGAGGUUUUGUGGAAACUCUGAGUUUUUAACCCCGAAAUGAGGAAAACUCUGAGUUUUCGGUUUCAGAAAGCGGGGUUACUUAAACCCGUAAAGCGGGGUAAGUUUAAGCCCGUUUCAAGAAGCGAGGUAAUCGAAACUCAGAGUCAGUUACUAUGGCAACUGACUCUGAACCAAACCUGGUCACGAGCAGGUUUUAUUCGGGAAACCCAGAGUUUCCUUCGGUCUCCGCCCCUUUUUAAAGUGAACAGUGUUUAAAUACCUCAUUUAAUCGUUCAGUUCAUUCAUAGAUUUCACCUGUUUCCUUCGCGCAGAGACCAAAAUGUCCGUUUCUAGAGGAUCCUGUAGAUGAGGACGCUGUAUUAAUUCACACGACGUUGAAUUUACGCCGCGAGAGGAUUUUAACGCCACGAGUUAAUUUUCUGUCAUAUCGCCGUGCAUAUUUAUUUGAGCGGUACCGUUUUUCUCCAUAACGUAUAAUCGGUGGUCAGGGACACGAAACAGGAUCAACACAAGGUAGGCUAGACACAGAAACGGGAUGGAUGACAUACGACGAUCUGGCAACGACUGAUGUGACUGCUGGAAAUAUAUACACAGAUCAUAUGUGAUGCUGCACAUAUUAACACAAACGUGGAGGCAAAGUCUGACUCUGGUCGUGACUCAUGAAUAUAUCGUGAUUCAACCCUAAGUAACAGGCUGCACUGUGGUAAGUACAUGUAUGUCCUAUACACUUAUUUCAAUGCAUGCACUCACACUCACAGGAACACUUCUAUGCAGCACUAAAGUAAUGUGAACUUUCUUCUAGGAGAGAUUGACGGCUUUCUGCUGGAGAUAGGGGUUAAUGGCAGCCCACACUACUGACCCCUCACCCAGAACCUGAAGCAGAACCCCAGCAGCGCUUUAAUGUGGCCCUGCAGAACAAGAGCCCGGGUGGAAAUGACCAUAGGCCUGUUGAAAGCACAUCUGCAGUGUCUACGUCACCUCAGGGAAACACCUGAGAGGCCUGUGACAUUAAUGUGGCAUGUGUUGUUCUUCACAUUAUUGCAAUUAUUAGAGGGGAGUGUUGUGGAAAUCUUUGUUUAUAAGAAAUCUACAGGACAAUGUCAGUGUGAUGAACCAUCUCAAAGUUUACUCUCAUGUCGACACGGAGUGGAUCACAAUCAUAAUACCUCUAAGACGUAAGGCACAUCUCACUAUGUACAAAGUAUCCACUGAAGGCCUGAGGACACAAGACCUGUAUUUAUACCCUGUUACAAACCCCCACAUCAGCUGGUGACUAUUCUUUGAUAUACAUGAGUGCAGUAAAAAACCCCUUUACCUUCUUUAACUUUAACCAAAUGCUUGAUGACCCCCCAGGAACAACCCUCAGUCAGAGGCACAGCAUCUCAAGACAAACACAAAAUUUUCCACAGGAGCAACAGCCUGCCCUACAAAUACAAAGACCUGAGGAGACUCCUUCCAUCACAGUGAUCUGCAGAGUGGAUGGACAGUCAGAUGUGAUAUGCUGUAAUGUCUCAAUCAGCCAUCACCACCACCAAUAAAAGAAACUGAAUAAAUGCAAAUCAUAA